GAGUGCUAUUCUCUUUCAUUCAAUUUUGUGCUUUUGGAAAUCAAAUUGGAUAUUUUUUUAUUUGGAAAUCGUUUUCCAUAUUCGUAAUAAGCCGGAUUUGCUAAACACGUGCUAUAUUGAAUUCUACGUGCAAAUGACGGUAAGAUGUGUACAUUGUGGUGCAGCCGAAUUUCCAAAUGAAACAGAUGGCAUGUGCUGUGCUAACGUCAAAGUGAAAUUGCCAACAAUUUAAUCUCCACCCGAUUCACUACGUUCGCUGAUUUUUGGAAUGGUAUCAACUCCGACACAUUUUUUGUCUCAUAUUCAAGAAUACAAUGCAUCAUUUUAAAUGACUUCUUUUGGUGCGACAAAAAUUGUAAGAGACAAUUUUAUGCCGACGUUCAAGAUUCAGGGUCAGAUUUACCACCGCGUUGGCUCAUUAUUACCAUAUCCUGAUACGGACCAUCAAUUCUUACAAAUCUAUUUCGUUAGAAAUGAAAAUCGCGAAUUGGAUCGGCGAUGUACAAUUGCUUCGAGGGCAAGGCGACAAAUUGUUUCUGAGCUUCAAACAUUUUUUCAUCAACACAAUGAAUUAGUUCGAAUAUUCAAAAUCGCUCUCGAUCGUAUGCCAUCGGCUAACCACAAAAUCAGCAUAAAAGCCGAUAGAUCACCCAUCGGAGAGCAUGAAAGACGAUUUAAUACACCGACAAUCGAUGAUGUGGCUAUUGUAAUUGUUGGGGACCAGUUUCAAUCUCGCGACAUCGUGCUACAUCGAAGAAAUGAGUCGUGACAUAAGAAGACAAUUUCAUUUUUAGAUGUGGCAAACUUUUCAAUCAAUACGCUGUUGACAUGUACGCAAAAAUAGAAACAGAACGUCUGAAUUACCUUCGAUUUAAUCAAGGAAAUUUACGAUCGGAAGAAUAUAUACAUUUGCGAGAUGCAAUAGUGAAUGAUGGUAAUGCAAAUGAUAUCGGACGUUUAACAAUAUUACCAUCCACAUAUGUCGGCAGUCCGCGUUACAUGCACAUACGUUCGCAAAUAUGGUCGACCAGACUUAUUUAUAACAUUUACAUGCAAUCCACAGUGGACGGACAUAAAUGAUAAUUUAUUUGUUGGUCAAAAACCAAAUAAACUGCGCGUGUUGAUUCAAAAAGUUACACCAAAUGAGAUUGAUCGCAUUAUAUCAGCCGAAAUUCCAGAUCCACAAUUAUCCCAAGUUGUUACGAAAAACAUGAUUCACGGCCCAUGCGGUGAACUAAAUUCGCCAUGCAUGAUCGAUGGAAAAUGCUCAAAGCGGUAUCCAAGAGCAUUGAUUUCCGAAACAAUAACAGGCAAUGACGGAAACCCAUCGUAUCGACGUCGGUCACCAGACGAUUUUGGAUAUACAACAACAAUUACAGUUCAUAAUAAAGACACUAUCAUACCAAAAUAUUUGAAGCUCACAUUAACGUUGAAUAUUGUAAUGCAGUGAAGUCAAUCAAAUAUAUAUGCAAAUAUGUCAGCAAGGGAAGCGACAUGGCUGUUUUUGGAGGGACAACAACUGGUGACAAUUGAUAUGAUGAAAUUUCACAAUAUCAAAUGGGACGUUACAUUAGCACUAAUGAAGCUCAUUGGAGAAUUUAUUCAUUUCCAAUGCAUGAGCGAUAUCCUGCUAUGGUUCAUUUGGCUGUUCAUUUGGAAAAUGGACAACGUGUUUAUUUUACUAAUUCAAAUGUGGAGCAGAGAGCGGUACAGCCACCAGCAACAACAUUAAAUGCAUUGUUCCAAUUGUGUGAAAGUAAUUAAUUUGCAGGAACAUUGCUGUUCAUUUGGACUGCAAAAAAAUGGCAACGACAUAAAAGAGAAGUUCCAGUUGAUGGUCAUCCAGGCGUUUUAUAUAAAGAUACUAUGGGAAGGUUGUACACAGUUCAUCCAAACAACGCAGAGUGCUUUUAUUUGCGACUGUUGUUGGUAAACGUUGUAGGACCUCGCUCAUUUCAACAUUUGCGAACAGUUAAUGGUCAUUUAUGUCAGACAUAUCGCGAAGCAUGUGAACACUUACAUUUGUUGGAAAAUGAUGUACAUUGGGACUUGACACUUCUUCUCCACAUUAAAUACGUAUGCUAUAUGCCAUAAUAUUAUCGACAUGCUUUCCAUCGAAUCCACUUGAUUUGUGGAAUAAAUAUAAUGGUUUAAUAGCCGAAGACUUUUUAAAUGGAAAUGUAUAACGAGGCAUUGAUAUCUAUUGAAGAUAUAUGCCUUGCGAUGGCAAAUAAAGCAUUAGGUCAAUUAGGUUUGCCUUCACCGAAUCGUCCAAUGCAUGAUUUGUUUGAUCGAGAAUUGCAACGUGAAAAACAGUACAAUAUCAAUGAAUUGCAAAUAUUUGUGAAUUGAAAUUUACUGAAAUUGAACGACCAACAAAAACAUGUUUACGAUACCAUUAUGCAAGCAGUACAAAAUGAUGUUGGUGGAUUGUAUUUUUUGGAUGCGCCUGGAGGUAGGGGUAAAACAUUUAUGGUAUCAUUGAUUUCGGCAGCCAUUCGGUCACAACAAAAAAUUGCAUUGGCACUUGCUUCGUCAGGAAUUGCUGCUAUUUAAUUGGAUGGUGGACGAACAGCACACUCAGCAUUUAAAUUGCUGUUAAAUGUGCAGGGUUGUUUGUAUUUAUUGAUUGAUCUAUUUAAAAUACAUUAGUGCUAAUUACUAUAUUAUUUUUGAACGUGCAGGUGAGUGACAAUCCCACAUGCAACAUAUCAAGAAAUUCUGGAAUGGCAAAAGUUUUGCAGCAAGCAAAAGAUGCAAGAUCUACGUCAAAUUUUUGGUGAUGCACUAAUAGUAUUUUUGUCGGAAGAUUUCCGACAAACAUUGCCCGUCAUUCCACGUGCAACGUUAGCGGAUCAGGUCAAUGCGUGCUUAAAGUAUUAUUUCCUGUUGCGACAUGUUCAAAAAUUGACAUUGAACAUAAACAUGCGUGUUCAAUUGCACAA